ACAAGUAGCGGAGCAUGUGGUUUAAUUCGAAGCAACGCGAAGAACCUUACCUAAGCUUGACAUCCCAAUGACAUCUCCUUAAUCGGAGAGUUCCUUUCGGGGACAUUGGUGACAGGUGGUGCAUGGUUGUCGUCAGCUCGUGUCGUGAGAUGUUGGGUUAAGUCCCGCAACGAGCGCAACCCUUGUCUUUAGUUGCCAUCAUUAAGUUGGGCACUCUAGAGAGACUGCCAGGGAUAACCUGGAGGAAGGUGGGGAUGACGUCAAAUCAUCAUGCC
rnacentral:rRNA from 1 species